rnacentral:lncRNA from 1 species
GAAGGAUUCCAUGCCCGGCUGGAGGACAAAUCCUGCUGCUCUGAUGUUGUAACCUUUGGAAGGGAUUUCCCAUGGAUCUGACCCAUGUCCCCAGUGCCACAGGUUCCCUUUGGAAGAAGGGAUUUCCCACGGCUUGGGCACCACCAAAGUGGGAGCACAUCCCAGGUCCUCCUGCACCUCUCUGAGGUUUUUGUGGUGACAUCUGAGGGCAGCUUCCCCACCCUGAGCCAUUUUGGGGUUAAAGAAGCAGAGUUUGGGAGGUCUCACCCACCCUGACCCCAGCACCGAGCAUCCCCCGCACGCUCAGGUGAGUCAGAGGCGGCUCCGUGUGACUCACGGCCUGUCUGGGUCACGGUUACUCAUUGACACCUUCCCAGCAGGGCUGGCCUGGGAACCGAGCUGUGAGCACACCCCUGCAGGGCUGCCUUUGGAGGAAAUUUGGGGAUAAUUUGGUGAUAAUCCCUCGGGACAGGCUCUGGGAAUGGGGCUGG